CCCGCGCUGAGCACGGCCACCUCUUGCCUUGCAGGUGUUCCCGGAGCCGCGCACGGAGGCCGAGUGCCUGAGCAACAUCCGCGAGUUCCUGCGGGGCUGCGCUGCCGCCCUCCGCCUGGAGCUCAGCGUGUCGGAGCAGGAAUGGUUCCCAAGCUACCAGGAGAGGUGAGAGGCUGGCAGGAAGGGGCACAAAUGCCUGGGCGUAUGGAGCCUUCUGUGCGAGCCUUACGAACUCUGGGUGUGCUCCCAGGUUGGCUGUUCCCUGUUGUUUUCUCAUUAAUUUCUCCAGCCCCCUAGCUGUGGCCAAAGAUGAGAGGAAUGGCAGCCCGGACUCAACAAGUGGGUAUCUGGCAGGACCGCUGAGCCUGGGCUUCUUUUUCCUGCCUCCUUUAACAAGGUGUGAGUCAGCCCUCGUGGAUCUCUGCCUCGCUCGCUGUGGGAACUGGGGAGGUGCCAUAGCUUCUCCGUGCAGUGUCUGUAACGCUGCCUUGCUGCCGGUCAGGCUUUAGAAGAGGCUGGUUGCUCGCUUUGAAGGUUGCCUUCAGUUUUUGCACUGAGUGAAGAGCAUCUCUGGAAACUGUGACAGGGAUUUUUUUCAGGGGCAGAUUAUCUCAGAGGGCAGAUUCACCACUGAAGAGUUAAUGGUGAGUAUAAAUGGCUGAUAAACCAGUGGGUGUGGUUGUGAUCAUCGAAACAGAAGAGAUAUGUGAACAGUGCAGGUAUCAGAGGGAGCUCUGGAAUGGUGCUGGGAAAUGUGACCUUGUGAAUGUGAUUUUCCUACGUGUUCCUUGUGGAGCUUUGCAUGGCUCUACUUGAGACUGGUGUCGAGUUAUAUGUGGCCAGGUUGGGUGAUUUUCUGUAGGGUUUUUGGAGUGUGGUGCAAAGACAGCACUGGUUUGCUUAGCCAAGGGUCAGCCUUGCACAAGCACUUCCAGUUCCUAGAUCUGAAGUAGUCACAGGUGUAGUAGAACUGUAGUUUGACAAAGCUGUGUCAGAGCUCCUUGCUUCUUAGUCUGUGUGGCUUUGCCUUUGGAGCCUCUGUUAUGGCAUGUUUGAGAACUUGAUGAACGACUGUGGUAGAUAGAGGGCUGUGCUGCAGUAGGUGGGUUUUUUUUUGAAUGUUUUCCUAUAUUAUGUCCAUUUAUGGAGGAUGUGAUGGCUUCUGCCUUCCUACCAUAAAGAUAAGGGACAGAGGUGGGAAAUGUUCUUGGCCUGGGAAUGUUCAGGUGUCUGAAAGUUACCAUCUUCUUCCUCUCCCUCAGUAAAUCUGAGCAGUUAAAUUGCAUAUCCAGAAAGGAUAGCUCAGAUGCUAAUGAGGACCCCCGUUCCUCAAAGGGAACCAAUGGCUCCUUUUUGCCCUUGCAGUACUUGAUGUUUCAGUGUUCCAGAGCAAAAUGAAUGCUUAAUCUGGAGCUUGCAGUAAUCCUUUGUAAGUUGAAAUCUGUGUUGGUAAGGCAGAAAUAGUUUCAAUAAAUAAUCAGAAGAUUGUUGUGCA
rnacentral:lncRNA from 1 species